CAAUGUUCAGCUCAAGAACCGGAAGCACUUUUUGUGGACCACUGCAUACUUGAUCGAGCUCUUAAUCUAGAGGUGCAUUAAUUGUCUGAUCAAGAUGACUUGUAACGCCUCUUGUUAUGGGACUUUGUCACAGAAGAAAAAGGCCCAGUUGCUUGAUUUACAAUGGGACAUGAAUUACCACUUACCAGAUAAACUUCAUCACUAAGGGGGCAACCUAAAAUUUCCAAGUUGAUAAGUUAAAAGGGUUAUGUCUUAAAUUAGUGUUUCUUCUACAAAGAGGCAAUUAGGAGAAGACAAACCUGGCCGGCAAC